rnacentral:misc_RNA from 1 species
UCGUGGGGCUCCGGCCCCGUCGAGAUAGAACCCUUGCCUUUUUCGAGCACCGUCCGUUUCCUCGGCAGGCCCGCCUGCCAACGGGGACUCAACCAAACCCUUUUCUCUCUGCAACAGUCUGAAAAAACAAACAAAUAUCA